rnacentral:siRNA from 1 species
CAUAACAGUUGCAGCUGCUCCUA